UACGUAGGGUGCAAGCGUUGUCCGGAAUUAUUGGGCGUAAAGAGCUCGUAGGCGGUCUGUCGCGUCGGCUGUGAAAUCCCGAGGCUCAACCUCGGGUCUGCAGUCGAUACGGGCAAACUGGAGUGUUGCAGGGGAGACUGGAAUUCCUGGUGUAGCGGUGAAAUGCGCAGAUAUCAGGAGGAACACCGGUGGCGAAGGCGCUCAUCUGGCCCAAUACUGACGCUGAGGCGCGAAAGCUAGGGGAGCAAACGGG
rnacentral:rRNA from 1 species